rnacentral:lncRNA from 10 species
GCAGCUUUGUGGAUUUUGUAGUUGCUUCCUCCAAGGUUCACACAACAGGAUCUUCUCCCCUAUGGGAAAGGAGAUCAGAUGCUGGGAAGCCUCCUAACCCCAUUAGUAGAUAUCUACUCCAAUGAGGAAAGCAGAGUUUAUAUGUCCAAGGACAACGAGUCUUUUGCAAUGGGUACUGAAUGAAGUCAGAAAUCUUCUUGCAAAGGAUCAUUGGUGACUACAAACUCCACAGUCGACGGAUCAGCUGACACCACCUGGGCCUUUUAUCUGGCUCAACGCGUUCUGCCAUCCCACCCAGGAACAAAAAAACUCAAGAAAAACAGCAAGAAAAACUCACUUUGACUCCCCUAUAAUUCCAUCUCUAACCUGACCAAUCAGCACUCCCCACUUCUCGAGCCCCUAUCCACCAAAUUAUCCUUAAAAACUCUGAUCCUGGAAUGCUCAGGAAGACUGAUUUGAAUAAUAAUAAAACUCCAGUCUCCCGCACAGCUGGCUCUGUGUGAAUUACUCUUUCUUCGUUGCAAUUCCCCUGUCUUGAUAAAUCAGCUCUGUCUAGGCAGCUGGC